AGAAUCAACGCUGGCGGCGUGCCUAACACAUGCAAGUCGAACGAGAAAGUGGGAGCAAUCCCACGAGUAAAGUGGCGCACGGGUGAGUAACACGUGACUAACCUACCCUUGAGUGGGGGAUAACCUAGGGAAACCUGGGCUAAUACCGCAUAAUACCUACGGGUCAAAGGAGCAAUUCGCUUUAGGAGGGGGUCGCGGCAGAUUAGUUAGUUGGCGGGGUAAUGGCCCACCAAGACAGUGAUCUGUAUCCGGCCUGAGAGGGCGCACGGACACACUGGAACUGAAACACGGUCCAGACUCCUACGGGAGGCAGCAGUGGGAAUUUUGCGCAAUGGGGGAAACCCUGACGCAGCAACGCCGCGUGGAGGAUGAAGCCCCUUGGGGCGUAAACUCCUUUCGAUCGGGAAGAUAAUGACGGUACCGGAAGAAGAAGCCCCGGCUAACUUCGCGCCAGCAGCCGC
rnacentral:rRNA from 1 species